ACUUCUCCUUAAUUUAAGAAAUAACUGUAAUUUUAUAUAUGUAAGUAACACUACCUUUAAUGCUUCAAGAGUAUAUUAUAAAUUUCCAAAAUAAGGAGCAUGUUAUCUUGUCAUGGUGGGUGUGAUAAUUGGAGCCAUCAUAACGCCGCGUUUUUGCCUAUCCAUAUUGGCCUCCCAACCUAUCCCCAUAUCAAAUCCGCGGUUCUUGAGCUCUCUAUAUUCUUGACACAGUGCACAAGUCUCACAGCAGAAGUGAACUAGGCAAUCCACACAAGGUGCCUCCUCCAAGUCAUAUUGGCCUCUCAAUUUUGAGCGAUAGAAGCACGAGUACAAGCAAGCAAAACCUGUAAAACCCAGUAAUAGUCCAUACACAGCCCCACUUCCAGCACAUGAUGAUGAUCCUUUGUUCAGUAUCUCAGCUAUCUGUCCAAAUGUGAUGCAAGGGCAAAAGCAAGUGAUCAUACAAUUUGCAGGAUCAUCACAGCAAUGGCAUAAACCGGUGGACCACUUCCCCACCGCGCCGGGAGGGCGCAUACCAGCCUGAAUAUAUGAAGCAUAAGGCUGUGGAGCGUAAGAUUGUGGAGGUAGUGUGUUUGGAAUUCCUGAAACAUGGAUUGGUUCUGGUUGGCCAUUUGAUGGUGGAUACAUUUUGCAGGUGGAACCGAGUAGGAAUUAAUCA
rnacentral:misc_RNA from 1 species